rnacentral:rRNA from 1 species
AUUGAACGCUGGCGGCAGGCCUAACACAUGCAAGUCGCGCGAGCGCCGGACGGGUGUGUAUCGUAUGUGGAAUGUUCGAUAUAGGGGGAUAACUCCUGGAAACGGUGUCUAAUAUCGCACACUCUCUGAUACCCCACAUGGGAUUAGCUAGUAGGUAAGGUAAUGGCUUACCUAGUCGACGAUCCCUAUCUGGUCUGAGAGGAUGAUCAGCCACACUGGGACGGAGACACGGCCCAGACUCCUACGGAGGCAGCAGUGGGGAAGAUUGCACAAUGGGCGCAAGCCGGAUGCAGCCAUGCCGCGUGUAUGAAGAAGGCCGUAGGGUUGUAAAGUACUUUCAGUCGGGAGGCGUUACCGGCAGAAGAAGCACCGGCUAACUCCGUGCCAGCAGCCGCGGUAAUUC